rnacentral:tRNA from 1 species
GGCUGGGUAGCUCAGUGGAUUGAGAGCCAAGCCUAGAGGUGGGAGGUCCUAGGUUCGAAUCCCAGCCUCAGCCA